GAUGAACGCUGGCGGCGUGCCUAAUACAUGCAAGUCGAGCGAACAGACGAGGAGCUUGCUCCUCUGACGUUAGCGGCAGACGGGUGAGUAACACGUGGAUAACCUACCUAUAAGACUGGGAUAACUUCGGGAAACCGGAGCUAAUGCCGGAUAAUAUAUUGAACCGCAUGGUUCAAUAGUGAAAGACGGUUUUGCUGUCACUUCUAGAUGGAUCCGCGCCGCAUUAGCUAGUUGGUAAGGUAACGGCUUACCAAGGCAACGAUGCGUAGCCGACCUGAGAGGGUGAUCGGCCACACUGGAACUGAGACACGGUCCAGACUCCUACGGGAGGCAGCAGUAGGGAAUCUUCCGCAAUGGGCGAAAGCCUGACGGAGCAACGCCGCGUGAGUGAUGAAGGUCUUCGGAUCGUAAAACUCUGUUAUUAGGGAAGAACAAAUGUGUAAGUAACUAUGCACGUCUUGACGGUACCUAAUCAGAAAGCCACGGCUAACUACGUG
rnacentral:rRNA from 1 species